CGCGCGGGCUCGCAGGGGAGACCCCGUAUGGGAGCGGCCGCGGCGGCGUGGGCCGCGGCGUGAUGGGCGCGCGCCGCCGCCAAUGAGGAGGGGAAGGCGGGGCGGAGGAGUGACUGGCAGUGCGGACCGUCAAUCGGCCGCGCAGAUCGCGCCGAGGUGGGGAAGGCGGGCUCGUACACUGACGGGCGCGCUGCCCAAUCCUAACUCGGAGGCGUCGGCCGCGGCGGGGCGCCCCGCCAAUGAUAACGGCGGUCCGUCUCAAACUGACCAAUGGGCGCCGCGAAGAGGCGGGGCGAACGGCCGGGCUGCGCCCUUGGAGGGACGGCUUGGCGGCGCCGGGAAUGUGGCGGAAAAGGCGCCAUUUUGGUGCUGGCUCCGCCCCGGCAGCGGCGGCCGCUUUGCCGGGAGCCGGGCGUCCCCCAGCCCGGGCGGCGUCCCCGGGGCGGCCACGCUGCCUCGGUAGCCCUACCCAUGGCGCGACAGCCGUUCUCCUGUCACCUUUUCCUGUCACGAGCCACUUCAGCCCUGUCACGACAGCCGCCAUCCCGCUGUGACAUGUCUUCACAGGCCCUCGUUCCUGUGAAAACAUCCCCAGGGCCCUGUCACGACCUGCCCCACGUCCUGUCACAGCACCCAGCCUUGUCGUGACAGGGACUGUCACCAGCGGGACGCCUGGUCCUCUCCCCGCCUCCGUAUCAAAGCCACCCCACCGGAGCCGCCUUUCCACCCGCUGCCCGUCCCCGCCGGUCACCACCCUUUGAUGUCCCCCAGUGUCGGGGGGCCACAGCACGGGGAGCCCCCCACCCCAGCACCCUCCCCACAGCCCUGCUGUUGAUUUUGGAGGCGCUGCCGACGCCAGCGAGCCCCUCGCCUGGCACCCCACUGACUGCUCAGAUGCUGUCUUCGCCGUGACCUUUUUAUUUUGCACUUUUUUUGGCCUAAUUCCCUUCAUCCCGCAGCUGGAAAAUUGCUGUUGCUCACCGCGACCUCACCCCGCUUCCAGCGGAACUGUUUUAUUUCGGCUUUUUGGUGCGGCACCGGCCCUGCCGGCCAGCUGUGAGCCCCUGGAGUCAUUAAAACAACGCUGGAUGAAGAGCAGAGACCCACCCUGGGGAGGUAAAAUUGAACCAAAAUAAAAUCAAACCCUCCCACAGCUGGCAGUUUCUGGGGACAACCCCUCAUCCUGGCUCUAGCACUGCACGGGGCCUGUCCCCCAAAACCCUGGCAGUGGGGGGACACAGCCAUCCUG